rnacentral:pre_miRNA from 17 species
GAGCUAAUGGUGUUUUUGUGCAUGGUGGUAAGGCAGUGUAACGUUAGCUGGUUGUAUCUAUCUAUAACACCGGUUAACUUACUGCUGCCCUCCUACCGUGCAUGCUUACUCUACCAUCAUCC